rnacentral:rRNA from 1 species
GACGAACGCUGGCGGCGUGCCUAAUACAUGCAAGUAGAACGCUGAAGAGAGGAGCUUGCUCUUCUUGGAUGAGUUGCGAACGGGUGAGUAACGCGUAGGUAACCUGCCUUGUAGCGGGGGAUAACUAUUGGAAACGAUAGCUAAUACCGCAUAACAAUGGAUGACACAUGUCAUUUAUUUGAAAGGGGCAAUUGCUCCACUACAAGAUGGACCUGCGUUGUAUUAGCUAGUAGGUGAGGUAACGGCUCACCUAGGCGACGAUACAUAGCCGACCUGAGAGGGUGAUCGGCCACACUGGGACUGAGACACGGCCCAGACUCCUACGGGAGGCAGCAGUAGGGAAUCUUCGGCAAUGGGGGCAACCCUGACCGAGCAACGCCGCGUGAGUGAAGAAGGUUUUCGGAUCGUAAAGCUCUGUUGUAAGUCAAGAACGAGUGUGAGAGUGGAAAGUUCACACUGUGACGGUAGCUUACCAGAAAGGGACGGCUAACUACGUGCCAGCAGCCGCGGUAAUACGUAGGUCCCGAGCGUUGUCCGGAUUUAUUGGGCGUAAAGCGAGCGCAGGCGGUUUGAUAAGUCUGAAGUUAAAGGCUGUGGCUCAACCAUAGUUUGCUUUGGAAACUGUCAAACUUGAGUGCAGAAGGGGAGAGUGGAAUUCCAUGUGUAGCGGUGAAAUGCGUAGAUAUAUGGAGGAACACCGGUGGCGAAAGCGGCUCUCUGGUCUGUAACUGACGCUGAGGCUCGAAAGCGUGGGGGGCGAACAGGAUUAGAUACCCUGGUAGUCCACGCCGUAAACGAUGAGUGCUAGGUGUUGGAUCCUUUCCGGGAUUCAGUGCCGCAGCUAACGCAUUAAGCACUCCGCCUGGGGAGUACGACCGCAAGGUUGAAACUCAAAGGAAUUGACGGGGGCCCGCACAAGCGGUGGAGCAUGUGGUUUAAUUCGAAGCAACGCGAAGAACCUUACCAGGUCUUGACAUCCCGAUGCUAUUUCUAGAGAUAGAAAGUUACUUCGGUACAUCGGUGACAGGUGGUGCAUGGUUGUCGUCAGCUCGUGUCGUGAGAUGUUGGGUUAAGUCCCGCAACGAGCGCAACCCCUAUUGUUAGUUGCCAUCAUUCAGUUGGGCACUCUAGCGAGACUGCCGGUAAUAAACCGGAGGAAGGUGGGGAUGACGUCAAAUCAUCAUGCCCCUUAUGACCUGGGCUACACACGUGCUACAAUGGUUGGUACAACGAGUUGCAAGUCGGUGACGGCGAGCUAAUCUCUUAAAGCCAAUCUCAGUUCGGAUUGUAGGCUGCAACUCGCCUACAUGAAGUCGGAAUCGCUAGUAAUCGCGGAUCAGCACGCCGCGGUGAAUACGUUCCCGGGCCU